rnacentral:rRNA from 1 species
UGAGGAAUAUUGGUCAAUGGGCGAGAGCCUGAACCAGCCAAGUAGCGUGCAGGAUGACGGCCCUAUGGGUUGUAAACUGCUUUUAUAUGGGAAUAAAGUGAGGGACGUGUCCCUUAUUGCAUGUACCAUAUGAAUAAGGACCGGCUAAUUCCGUGCCAGCAGCCGCGGUAAUACGGAAGGUCCAGGCGUUAUCCGGAUUUAUUGGGUUCAAAGGGAGCGUAGGCUGUUUGUUAAGCGUGUUGUGAAAUGUAGGAGCUCAACUUUUAGAUUGCAGCGCGAACUGGCAGACUUGAGUGCGCACAACGUAGGCGGAAUUCAUGGUGUAGCGGUGAAAUGCUUAGAUAUCAUGACGAACUCCGAUUGCGAAGGCAGCUUACGGGAGCGCAACUGACGCUAAAGCUCGAAGGUGCGGGUAUCGAACAGG